GACGAACGCUGGCGGCGGGCUUAACACAUGCAAGUCGAACGGAAAGGCCCUGCUUUUGUGGGGUGCUCGAGUGGCGAACGGGUGAGUAACACGUGAGUAACCUGCCCUUGACUUUGGGAUAACUUCAGGAAACUGGGGCUAAUACCGGAUAGGAGCUCCUGCUGCAUGGGGGGGGUUGGAAAGUUUCGGCGGGUGGGGAUGGACUCGCGGCUUAUCAGCUUGUUGGUGGGGUAGUGGCUUACCAAGGCUUUGACGGGUAGCCGGCCUGAGAGGGUGACCGGCCACAUUGGGACUGAGAUACGGCCCAGACUCCUACGGGAGGCAGCAGUGGGGAAUAUUGCACAAUGGGCGGAAGCCUGAUGCAGCAACGCCGCGUGCGGGAUGACGGCCUUCGGGUUGUAAACCGCUUUCGCCUGUGACGAAGCGUGAGUGACGGUACUGGGUAAAGAAGCACCGGCUAACUACGUG
rnacentral:rRNA from 1 species